rnacentral:rRNA from 1 species
GAUGAACGCUGGCGGCGUGCCUAAUACAUGCAAGUCGAGCGAACAGAUGAGGAGCUUGCUCCUCUGACGUUAGCGGCGGACGGGUGAGUAACACGUGGAUAACCUACCUAUAAGACUGGGAUAACUUCGUGAAACCGGAGCUAAUACCGGAUAAUAUAUUGAACCGCAUGGUUCAAUAGUGAAAGACGGUUUUGCUGUCACUUAUAGAUGGAUCCGCGCCACAUUAGCUAGUUGGUAAGGUAACGGCUUACCAAGGCAACGAUGCGUAGCCGACCUGAGAGGGUGAUCGGCCACACUGGAACUGAGACACGGUCCAGACUCCUACGGGAGGCAGCAGUAGGGAAUCUUCCGCAAUGGGCGAAAGCCUGACGGAGCAACGCCGCGUGAGUGAUGAAGGUCUUCGGAUCGUAAAACUCUGUUAUUAGGGAAGAACAAAUGUGUAAGUAACUAUGCACGUCUUGACGGUACCUAAUCAGAAAGCCACGGCUAACUACGUG